UUGAACCCAGGUCUCCCACACCAAAGGCAAGUAUCUUAUCUAUGCGCACCGCCACCACUCCAGCGAUUUAGCUUCUAGCUUUAAUUUUUUUCACGUCAGUUUGACAGCCUGAAUACAAAUGUAUAAUGCAACUGCAAAACUACUGUAUCUGCUUCUUUCUGAGAUAGAUUUUCCCAAAAAAUUUGACAAUAUUUCUCCAGGGAGUGCAGUAAUAGACAGUGGCAGCGCCGACAGUCGGACUUAGUCGGACUUAGCACCAGUAACUAAGGGGGGUGGGGCUUAGCGAAGGGUCAAUUUAGUGGGUCUAAACAGUGCUAACUGCUCCCUUGAGACAGAGGAAUUUCCCUUUAAAUCCACAUCCCACAGCCAGACAAUUAAAGCAGGUUUAGAGCCUAAUGACAACCACAGAAUAGAGACUUUGAAAAGUCUUUCAGGUACUAGUUGGUCAGGACACGCGCUAGCAACAAACUCAAUUCAAAAGUCACUGCAAAAGUUAGGUGAUGACUUAAACCAAAAACUUAAUGCUAGGGAUGAAGGCAGGACACGAAAAUGGAAAAACUAGAGAGUGCCUUACUGUGUAAAUGUGGAACAAAAUCCUGCAAUGUUUUCACAAGACAAGUAUGGCUCUACAGGCAGUUGCAUUGGAUUUAUGUAAUGCUGUUUAUUUGAUCAGCUCAUUGGGGGAUUAUGUGGCCAGCCUAUGUGAAGAUUUUGACAACUUUGAGAUUGAAUUAAAAAACAUGUCUCCAACUUUGUCCCAAGUAACACCACAAAGCGGACACACAGAGGCACAGAAAAAACAAAAAACAGGCAGAUGAAUCUGCUGAACUGGAGUGUGAGCAAUCAGGCCGAGACAAGUUCAAAGUAUCUGUUUUUAUCCCUGUCAUACAUCAACUUGUUGCAGAACAAAGGUAAUACUCCUACAAAGGUAUUCAGCAGACAUUUUUAAUUUUGAACAACAUUCCAUCUAUCUCCGUACAAGAACUUCAUACACAAGAGGCUAAUCUCCAGAAGAAAUAUGCAGGUGAUCUGGUGGACGAUUUUGUGACGAAAUUGGACAAAUCAGAGAAUUUUUUAAAGAAAUGAAGACACCUCAGCAAGGUCACUUCUGCAACUUAUAAGAGGACGGAAACUACAAUCAGUGUUUCCAAACUUAGAUAUAGCACUUGUGCUUUUAUGUGCUGCUACUCUUUAUGCUAUUUGUAUGGCUUUAUUUUAUUGGAACAUUACACAGCAAUUCGAUUUGUGUCUGUCAGGAUGUUGUGAUCUUGCCUCAAUAAAACAGGCACUGAUGCAGAUGUUUCAGGCCUAGCUGUUGGUUUAGAAAGGUAAUAUCUGUUACCAGCUUGCAGUAGCAUUUUGAAUAGCCUUUUUUUUUCUAUAGCACUGCUGUUUAUAGCAGGCCUUUUACACAUGGCACUAAAUCACUUUUUUCUGAUUUGGAGUAACGAUUACUGUAUGGAUGCACGUAUUAUGAUUACUUUCAUUUUAUUAUAUUUCCAUGUGUGUAUAUCUCUGUGGGUAUAUGCUUAUGUAUAGCCUAGAAUACAUUUAGAAAAUAUUUACAUAUUUAUUUAAUUUAUUACAGCCAUUGAAUGCAGAAAGUUAAGUUGGUCAGAAUAUAGCAUAUCUAAAAAAUAUCAUGAAAUAAUGUUAGAAGAAAUUAAAAACACCCCACAUUUCCUUAGACCUGUACACCACUACUGACCUCAAUCACACCAGCUCCCUCAGCUCAAUCAGCUGCCCUGCCAAUCUCCUGCCUGAUUAUUAUAAUACAAAUAUAAUUUGUAUUAUUCUGUCGUAUUAAUCAAAAUUCUUGCUUGUCUUUGUUGAGAAUUCUAAAUCUAAUUAUUGUUUUUCUUUUUAGGGUCGCUUCAGCCCCCUUAAAAUAGGCCUAACAGCAUCCAUGCUAAAUCUAAUUAUUGUUUUUCUUUUUAUUAUUUUGGGGGGCUUAAGACACGCACACACCGCAUGAUUCGAUGAUUAGUUACCUAUAGGAAUUCCUUAACAAUUCGUAUCCAACUACAUAAAUCCUUAGUCAGGGAUACCCCUAGACCCUACAUAGAGGACAGUCACACACCGAUGAUGAUAAUCUUGAUGAUAUGAAAAAUAAACAGUGUAUCUGCAGUAGAAGUAAGUUGUAAAUGCAUGUAGAUUAUUAUUUAUAGUGCAUAGUCACAGAAGUCUAUAUCCAGUUACAAAAAAUAUGAUCAACAUUAAACAGAAAUCACAUGACAAAGCAAUUACAGUAACUAGUCAAGUUUAAAGCAAUUUACAUUUCCAACAGUUCUUUAGGCUGUCUGCUUUCUCUUUCACUUUACAGUAUAAAACAGUACGUGUUUCAGUGUGGCUGUGCGGUGCUGUACACUAUACCCUUCAGGGAUAAAACAACUCGCUCCUCAGAGAUGGUGCAGUACAAAUGAACCUGCUAGAGAAAAAGACACACAAGAACUGCAGAAACCAACAAGAUGAUGCCCACAAUUACUCCACAACCAGCUGCAACUACUACAAACUUCCAUAUCCACUUUUCUGCUUUGAAACAACAUAUACAUAAACAUGUGUCAGUACUGCUACUCACAACAUCAACAAGCAGGAAGACAUGUACUGUCCAUAACUACAGUAUUUUAACCAUCAGUAGUGAAGAGUCUGUUUCUUCAAGGCACAAAAACACGUUAACCUUAAUGUUGUCUUCUUUUGUACUAGGAGUACAGAUAUUAAGCAGCACAGCGAUGUCAUAUGCUGAUAACAAUUUGAUUUUACUUGAACAAUGCAGGCUAACAUCUGCACACUAGGAAGGCUAACUUCACAUACGCAUAAGCAACUGCACAUCAUCUCACACUUUCAGAGUAACCAAUCAACCAUCGCUUCAGUCUGCACUUGGACUGAAAUUCAGAGUAAUCACUUUUUACAAACGUGAAUAUAUUGUAUAAUCAACAUUUUCUGAUGAGUCAGAGUAAAUCACUGAGCAUACACAGAAUAAUCAUGUCACCCGAUGUUGGUUUUUCUGGUGUUAGAGAAGUAGAAGUGGAACCACCAGUAUUACUUGGCGUACCAGCAGUCCAACCUGGUGAAUCAACAGAAUUCUACAGGUGUUACCAGAGAGGAAGCACGAGGCCUGCUAAUAGUCAGAGCUGAAUUGCAGAAACCAGCAAGACACCCACAGUUAAUCCACAACAAGCUGCAACUACUAUAAACUAUAAAAUCCUUAUCCACAUUUUCCAUAUACCUCCAGAUUCCAGAUUCAAUGGAGUCAUCCUAGAGUCUGUUUCUUGAAGACACAAAAAUAUAAUAACAUUUAUGUUGACUUCAUUUGUAAGCAACUACAUUCAUGUACAUAAGCAACUGAAUAUCCAUCUUACACUGUCAGAGUAACCAAUUAGCAACCAUCACUUAAAUCUGCGGUUAAUUACUUUUGUGAAUAUAUUGUAUAAUCAACAUUUUCUGAUGAGUCAGUGUGAAUCACUGAAAAACAGAAUAAUUCCGUCACCUAAUGUUGGUUUCUCUGGUGUUAGAGAAGUAGAAGUGGAACCACCAGUGUUACUUGGCGUACCAACAGUCCAACCUGGUGAAUCAACAGAAGUAUAUUUCAAAAUACUGAAUACACUGAAACAUGUAUAUUUUGUAAUUAACUAAUGUCACACUUGAUAUAAUGUAUCUGUUAUUUUGUUACCUGAUGUUAGUUCUACAGGAGUUACCAGAGAGGAAGCACGAGGACUGCUAACAGACCCCAUAAAAUUUCAAACUAAUUGAUACUGAACUGAAGUGCUCUGUAAUGUUCUGGACUGCUACCUUAAUGUAUAAAAGGUCCUACCUGUGGUCACAAAAAAUGUUGACUUUGUCUGUGUCGUGGUUGACUCUCUUUCUACAAUAUCUACAGUAAGAGAAAAUGGAUUUGGGCUGAUACAUAUCCCAUGUGUACAAAUAAAUACAAUAAAUUAUAAAUAAGUAAACAAAUGAAUAUGUAAAUAUUUAUGUAGAAAACUAAAUGGGAGGGCUUUGGUAUCUGUGUAUUUGUAUAUUUUAUUUGUUGUAUAAGUAGUGAGUAUACUAAUAAACUUUAUUUUGAUUCUGAUGUCA